GAUGAACGCUGGCGGCGUGCCUAAUACAUGCAAGUCGAGCGAACAGACGAGGAGCUUGCUCCUCUGACGUUAGCGGCGGACGGGUGAGUAACACGUGGAUAACCUACCUAUAAGACUGGGAUAACUUCGGGAAACCGGAGCUAAUACCGGAUAAUAUAUUGAACCGCAUGGUUCAAUAGUGAAAGACGGUUUUGCUGUCACUUAUAGAUGGAUCCGCGCCGCAUUAGCUAGUUGGUAAGGUAACGGCUUACCAAGGCGACGAUGCGUAGCCGACCUGAGAGGGUGAUCGGCCACACUGGAACUGAGACACGGUCCAGACUCCUACGGGAGGCAGCAGUGGGGAAUAUUGGACAAUGGGCGCAAGCCUGAUCCAGCCAUACCGCGUGGGUGAAGAAGGCCUUCGGGUUGUAAAGCCCUUUUGUUGGGAAAGAAAAGCAGCAGGUUAAUACCCCGCUGUUCUGACGGUACCCAAAGAAUAAGCACCGGCUAACUUCGUG
rnacentral:rRNA from 1 species